rnacentral:rRNA from 1 species
AUGAACGCUGGCGGCGUGCUUAACACCUGCAAGUCGAACGGGAAUUAUUUUAUUGAAACUUCGGUCGAUUUAAUUUAAUUCUAGUGGCGGACGGGUGAGUAACGCGUGGGUAACCUGCCUUAUACAGGGGGAUAACAGUCAGAAAUAGCUGCUAAUACCGCAUAAGCGCACAGAGCUGCAUGGCUCAGUGUGAAAAACUCCGGUGGUAUAAGAUGGACCCGCGUUGGAUUAGCUUGUUGGCAGGGUAACGGCCUACCAAGGCGACGAUCCAUAGCCGGCCUGAGAGGGUGAACGGCCACAUUGGGACUGAGACACGGCCCAGACUCCUACGGGAGGCAGCAGUGGGGAAUAUUGCACAAUGGGGGAAACCCUGAUGCAGCGACGCCGCGUGAAGGAAGAAGUAUCUCGGUAUGUAAACUUCUAUCAGCAGGGAAGAUAGUGACGGUACCUGACUAAGAAGCCCCGGCUAACUACGUG